rnacentral:lncRNA from 1 species
UCACGACGUUUUGGAUGCCCUGGAGGAGGAGGAGAAGGAUGUUCUGAAUCUGAUGGAGGAGUUGAAGGACGUUCUGAGGCUGGUGGGGAAGGUAAAUGACGUGGAGGAGGAGGAAUUUCUGAGGCUGGCGGGGAAGGUAAAUGACGUGGAGGUGAAUGUGAUGGUGGGACUAACUUAGGUGGUGGAAGUGGAUUGCUUGGAGGGUCUGGUGCAGGUAGUGAAGGAGGGCUUUCCGGUGGUGGUGGUGGAUUUGUUGGCGGGCUGGGUGAUGUAAUAGGAGUAGUAGGAGGAGCUUCAGUUGGUGGAGGUGGCGGGGGAGAAGAUUCUGGUGGAGGUGAUGAUACUGGAUUCGCUGGAGGAGGAGCUUCAGUUGGUAAAGGUGGUGGGGGAGAAG